rnacentral:rRNA from 1 species
AUACGGAGGGUCCAAGCGUUAUCCGGAUUCAUUGGGUUUAAAGGGUCCGCAGGCGGGAAAAUAAGUCAGUGGUGAAAGCCUACAGCUCAACUGUAGAACUGCCAUUGAAACUGUUUUUCUUGAGUAUAGAUGAAGUGGGCGGAAUAUAUCAUGUAGCGGUGAAAUGCAUAGAUAUGAUAUAGAACACCGAUUGCGAAGGCAGCUCGCUAAACUAUUACUGACGCUCAGGGACGAAAGCGUGGGGAGCGAACAGGAUUAGAAACCCUAGUAGUCC